GACGAACGCUGGCGGCGUGCUUAACACAUGCAAGUCGAACGGACAGGCCCUGCUUUUGUGGGGUGCUCGAGUGGCGAACGGGUGAGUAACACGUGAGUAACCUGCCCUUGACUUUGGGAUAACUUCAGGAAACUGGGGCUAAUACCGGAUAGGAGCUCCUGCUGCAUGGUGGGGGUUGGAAAGUUUCGGCGGUUGGGGAUGGACUCGCGGCUUAUCAGCUUGUUGGUGGGGUAGUGGCUUACCAAGGCUUUGACGGGAAGCCGGCCUGAGAGGGUGAACGGCCACAAGGGGACUGAGAUACGGCCCAGACGCCUACGGGAGGCAGCAGUGGGGAAUAUUGCGCAAUGGGCGGAAGCCUGAUGCAGCAACGCCGCGUGCGGGAUGACGGCCUUCGGGUUGUAAACCGCUGUCGCCGGUGACGAAGCGUGAGUGACGGUAAUGGGUAAAGAAGCACCGGCUAACUACGUG
rnacentral:rRNA from 1 species